rnacentral:rRNA from 1 species
GACGAACGCUGGCGGCGUGCUUAACACAUGCAAGUCGAACGGAAAGGCCCUGCUUUUGUGGGGUGCUCGAGUGGCGAACGGGUGAGUAACACGUGAGUAACCUGCCCUUGACUUUGGGAUAACUUCAGGAAACUGGGGCUAAUACCGGAUAGGUGCUCCUGCUGCAUGGUGGGGGUUGGAAAGUUUCGGCGGUUGGGGAUGGACUCGCGGCUUAUCAGCUUGUUGGUGGGGUAGUGGCUUACCAAGGCUUUGACGGGUAGCCGGCCUGAGAGGGUGACCGGCCACAUUGGGACUGAGAUACGGCCCAGACUCCUACGGGAGGCAGCAGUGGGGAAUAUUGCACAAUGGGCGGAAGCCUGAUGCAGCAACGCCGCGUGCGGGAUGACGGCCUUCGGGUUGUAAACCGCUUUCGCCUGUGACGAAGCGCGAGUGACGGUAAUGGGUAAAGAAGCACCGGCUAACUACGUG